GAUGAACGCUAGCUACAGGCUUAACACAUGCAAGUCGAGGGGCAGCAUGGUCUUAGCUUGCUAAGGCCGAUGGCGACCGGCGCACGGGUGAGUAACACGUAUCCAACCUGCCGUCUACUCUUGGACAGCCUUCUGAAAGGAAGAUUAAUACAAGAUGGCAUCAUGAGUUCACAUGUUCACAUGAUUAAAGGUAUUCCGGUAGACGAUGGGGAUGCGUUCCAUUAGAUAGUAGGCGGGGUAACGGCCCACCUAGUCUUCGAUGGAUAGGGGUUCUGAGAGGAAGGUCCCCCACAUUGGAACUGAGACACGGUCCAAACUCCUACGGGAAGCAGCAGUGAGGAAUAUUGGUCAAUGGGCGAGAGCCUGAACCAGCCAAGUAGCGUGAAGGAUGACUGCCCUAUGGGUUGUAAACUUCUUUUAUAAAGGAAUAAAGUCGGGUAUGUAUACCCGUUUGCAUGUACUUUAUGAAUAAGGAUCGGCUAACUCCGUG
rnacentral:rRNA from 1 species